rnacentral:rRNA from 1 species
CAAUAGCGUAUAUUAAAGUUGUUGCAGUUAAAAAGCUCGUAGUUGGAUUUCUGGUUUGAUGCCCUGGCCCGCUUCAAUUUCGAAGUGAGUGCCGGCUGUGCGUCUACCAUCCUUCUAGAAAACGUUCCUACCCUUCACUGGGCCGGGUUCGCGAUCUAGAUCUUUUACUUUUGAAAAAAUUAGAGUGUUUAAAGCAGGCUUUUGCUAUGAAUACAUUAGCAUGGAAUAAUAAUCUAGGACUUCGGUUCUAUUUUGUGGUUUCUAGUACUGAAGUAAUGAUUGAUAGGGAUAGUUGGGGGUGCUAGUAUUGGGCGGCCAGAGGUGAAAUUUCUUGGAUUCGCUCAAGACUAACUUAUGCGAAAGCAUUCACCAAGGAUGUCUUCUUUAAUCAAGAACGAAAGUUGGGGAUCGAAGAUGAUUAGAUACCA